GAUAAACGCUGGCGGCAUGCUUAACACAUGCAAGUCUAUUCGAAAGUGGUAACAUGAGUAGGAUGGCGGACGGGUGAGUAACACGUGAAUAACCUGCCCUUCAGACUGGGAUAACGAGCCGAAAGGUUCGCUAAUACCGGAUAUUAUCAUUCGAUAGCAUUGUUGAAUGAUGAAAGCUAUAUGCACUGAAGGAGGGGUUCGCGUCCCAUUAGCUAGUUGGUGAGGUAACGGCCCACCAAGGCGACGAUGGGUAGCCGGCCUGAGAGGGCGUACGGCCACAAGGGAACUGAGACACGGUCCUUACUCCUACGGGAGGCAGCAGUGGGGAAUAUUGCACAAUGGGGGAAACCCUGAUGCAGCGAUGCCGCGUGAGUGAAGAAGGUCUUCGGAUCGUAAAGCUCUUUCGACAGGGAAGAAACAAAUGACGGUACCUGGAGAAGAAGCCACGGCUAAUCACGUG
rnacentral:rRNA from 1 species